GUCUACAGCCAUGCUACCCUGAAUGUGCCUGAUCUUGUCUGAUCUUGGAAGCUAAGAAGGGUCAGGCCCUUCUUAGGUUAGUACUUGGAUGAGAGACCACCUAGGAAUGUCAGGUGCUAUAGGCG
rnacentral:rRNA from 1 species